ACUAGGUUGGUGAUUGAUGCAACUGGUAUUUAACUUGAGGGAUGCAUAAUUCGGGAUGGAUUUCUGGUUUGGGUGAUCUGCUUAUGGCCAUUGGUACAUCUGCAGAUUCCGCUAUGACACCGUUGGGCAACACGACGACGGAGGCCUGAAGUUGUAUGACCAGCAACAGCAUCCGUGGGCAGCAUCUGCUGGCACAAUGAAGGAACUGCUCAACAAUGGAUUUCUAUCCUGUGAAUUGGUGUAACAAAUAAAUUUUCCAAUGUCAGCUGCAGCAAGAUAUAGGUGUUGUACCCAAUUUUGUUUCUGUGAUUUAUCUAUUAUACAUCACACUGUCCGCUGAUGCAUAUUUGAAGUUUUUUGAAAUUUAUUGAAAUUGAAGGGAAAUAGGGAUACAAGGAACAUGCAUCUUUUAUGCUAUUUUCUUAUUCCAUAUACAGUUGGUUGCAGUUUCUUGAAAGUAAAGUGAGGUAAAUAUAUGUUGGUUGUAGCAAAAUCUAACUAGCACUCUAUUAUCACCUUUAUUUUAGGUGACUUUCCUACUGCACAACACAAUUUCUGGUGACGCAUAUCUGAAGUUUGUUGCAGUUUUUAGAAAUGAAGUAAAAUAUGGACGUAGGCAGCAUGCCGAUGUAUAAUUUUUCGAAGCUGGUGUACUAAACCUGCCCAUACCUAAAAAGCAUGAAAUAUUUGGUAUGAAGUAGGUAAAAAACCGUUAUUAUGUUGUGCUCUUCCACUCUUUAGAUUAUCUUAGCUCCAUAUAUGUUUCCUAAAUUGCAAUGAUAGACAAAACUCUAUUAGGCUAAUACUGAAACAUCACAUUAUUUAUCAUCACAUUGCAUGGUGAAAUUUAUUUUCUUACCGGCACUAUCAUUGUCAAAGAAGAAUAGUCAGACUUCUUACUUAAGGAUAAAAUAAUACACUAACUCUGGGGUUUUACGUUGCUUAAUUAUAAUACUCAUUGCAGUAAAUAAAAAAAUGCAUUCCAUAUAGAUUCCGAUGUCCUUAUAUAGGACUGUAUUUUAUCAGGUGCGCCCUCUCACAAAGAACUCACAUAAUUGGGCAUUCAUUCCAAUUUUAGCAACCCAUUGCUACUCGUAGGUAUGAAUACAAAUAUAUUACUUCACUUCUGCUAUUCCACCUUUUAUAAUUAGAACUUUAUUGUAGAGAUAUAUCCAUCUAUGCAAAUAUCAGAAUGAAUGGUGGAAGCAGGUGUUGUUCGCAUACCAAGGGAAAUUUUUAGUGGCACUAAGCAGAAUAAAACAUGACCGUGUUGCACUUCUUCAUCAUGCAUACAAUGCACAACCACUCUCUCAAUGUAAAAGGGUGCCAGGUUGUACAGUGGUUCAAUCUAUCGCCAACAAGCUGGUUAUACGUCGUGGUAUGACCUCUAAUUUGUCUACCGCCGAAAAAGUUACGAUUUCCUUUUCAGAGAAGCAUUACGAACUAUUAAUCUUGGUGGAGGAGAAGAAACUUUGUAUACUAAUUGAUGUGCCUACCGGACCUGCAAGUGACACAUUGGUACACCUAAGAACUAUAAUUGUCGAUGAACAGUAGUUACCCACUACAUUAAAAAAACUACCCUUGCAUAUGUUUACAAGUAAUAUUUCUUCAACGGUGGUUUUGUCGGAGAGCAUCCUGAAAUAUGGUGGUAUCAGGAAUUUCAUUUUGUGAUGAUUUUCACACAUCUUGCAGAUUCAGAGGCCAUAUAUGCAUGGUAGCGGCUGGAGCUACAAUUAAAAUAUUCAGAAAUUCCCACUGUCAUGAACCCCAUCCUUUCUUUUGCGUUUAAUACUGAUGUUAUGCUUUUGUGUGAAACAUGGCCUAAUGAUUCAGGGAGCUAGCUGCUCAUUAGUGAACUUUGCCGUUUCUUGUGUGUUUGUAUAGGUAUGCUAUAAAUUACAGUCAAUACCUUCAGGUUUUAUAUGGAUUUCAAGUUUGCUUUGUUGACUUGCUUGCUUCCAAUUAGAAGAAAUCUAUGGGUUUCAUGGAAAGUAUAAUUUGCAGGUGCUCAAGGAUGAACAUUUUCUAUCUUAUGUUGGCACCAUGCAGAUGGUAUCUGCCACUGUUGUUACCCGAUCACUUACAUGUACAUGGUCUGCUUCUCAGUUUUUGUGUUGUUUUUGUAGGUCGUGUGAUCAAAAGGUUAACUGGAUUAGGCAAGGCAUGAUUGAUUAUUGUUGCCUCCUAUUUUGAAAGGCACUAAUUCUUUGAUUAUUGCUGCCUCCUUCUAUUUUGAACCACACACUCGCUGCAGAUGGAAGGGAUUCUAUCUAAAAUGAGGAGUAUACAAAUGAAUCUGAUGUUGGGCAAACUUUAUAGGAUAUCUGGAAUAACUGUGCAGCUGCGCAUUCUUUCUGAAUUAUAAUAUAAAACUUUUUUAGAGUUCCUAUGGGUCAAUCAUUUUUAGUUCUGGUGGGGGUUUAAUUUUUGUAGGGGGUUUUGCAGUGCUAUCAUUUACAUUAUAUACUGUUUUGCAUGAGAGUAUAGAUUACGAUAUUAACACGUACAGAUUUUCAAAUAUUGCUUCUAAAAAUAUCAGGUCAGAGGCAUGUAUGCUAUUUAAGCAGUGUUUUUCCUACCUUGGAAACUUGUGGUUGUAGUUGCUCCUCACCUAUGGCAUGUUUUGUUAUUUUGUAUUUUGUUCUCGGAAAACUAGGAGAGAGCAUAUAAAUAAAAGGUGCUCAUAUCUUGCUAGCAAGUGCCUAUUAUGAUCCAUGUGAUGAUUCAUUUGCGGAUGACUAAAUCGAAACCUCGGAAUGUUUUAUCUUCGGAAAAAAUAAUUGGUAAACCAUUCUGCGAGGUAUUGUUUGCCAUGUGGUGUGGAGUGUCUUCAUCUCAUUUUUAUUUGGCUAGCUGUAGUCUAGAGCGUUUCUCAAAUAAUUUUAGAAUGGAUUUUGUGAAGAUUUGCAGAGAAGUAAGUCGAAACCUUCUUUACCGUAAACUAACUCAAAACCUCAGGUUUUAAAUUUUUUCACCGUACAUAAUAAUUCUUAUAUACCUGCUACUUAUAAUGUCAAUCAUAUUUAAUUUUAAUUCAUUGUUUUACAGACCAUCAUAUUUGCCUAAAGAUGGUAUUUCAGUUUCAUGAAAUAAUUGUUUCCCGUCAUAUAAGAAUCAAUUACUUUAUUCAGUUACUAAACAUUCCAAAUGGACUAUGAAUAUGCAGAUUGGCAUUCAAGUCCCUCCGGGAUCCCUUUGCUAAAGAAGCAUCACUACCUUGCUGGCUUUAUGCAGACCAAUCAGCUCAUUCUUGGCUUAUUCUGAAGGCAACUAUCGGUUCUUUUGCAGCUGAUGAAGCAUUUUAUUGGAUCUCAAUUUGCAUGAAAAGCUUCACUGAUUCAAUCAUGGCAGUCGUGUAUCUUCCAGAUUUGUAAUGCUAUUCUGUAGUGUAAGGAUUUCUUCAUCCCUAUGAGUUGAUUGCUAAUUGCUAAGCUACUAUCUCAAGCUAAGUAUAGUUACCUCUUGCUAAUGUCAUUAUUAGUUGCUUUCUAAUUGCUUUCCAGCUCACAAGAGGAUUUUUUUAAAAUCUGCGAGUUGUUCCUUUUAUCUUGCAGCUUUUGAACAGAAACUACAACCUUAACUCAACUAAUAUAUAAACAAUAUUCAGAGGAGUAAGGUCAAUGCUUUGAUUUGUGCUAGCUUUAUCCACCGAAUUCAGUAGUGUAUUACUUUUGUUAGCAUUUUUUAAAUAUAGAUGUUGAUGUGGAUCUUCAGAUAUGUUUCCGCCCUUUUUGGACAAUGCUAAACGCAAUAAGUUACUAGAUGCCUAGAAGGACUACAAACUAGAUGCGGCAUGCCUUAUUGAUCAGUAUUCACAGUAACGCAAUGUUGUGACUGCAUGUUUAGUUUUCGUUGCUAAAUUGGAUUUUUUACCUGAGUAUAUCUUUGAUCAGUAUUCAGGCCUCUAAUUCUUUGCUCUACUACUGAUUAAGUAGGGCAUGUUGAGCCAAGAAGUACUAAAAUAUAUCUUCUUUGUUUCUUCUCAUGUUUGUUCUCGUGUGGUGUUCAUGCCUAGCAUCGCAAAAAUCUGCUACACUUCCACUUACAAUGAGGUUAAGUAAUCACGGCUUGCUCUUAAUUUCCUAAUUCUUUGGUGAACUAUAUACCAUCCAAUUAUUAAUUGUAAUAAUUGUGGUUGAGGGUUUUCUAUUGUGCAAAACAUCUUGUGUGGCUCCUUCAGGGUGCUCAAUAGGAGGUUCAUGGAUUGCCCCUGCUGCCUCCUCCUCGGUGCACAUUAGGGGGAGCACGAGGUGGCGCCAAAAACUGCGCUAGACGAUAACAUAGUUUGAAAACCUUCCCCAUGAAGAGGUGGGGUUAUUGUCCCUUUUCAGAUAGCAAAGAAAGCAUCCUCUGGUCAUUUUCCGAAGUUAUAGGUUACCUUAAGAAUCUAUGUGCACCAAGUUAUUCAUUGCAGGAGAUACAAUGACAUUUAAUAAAAGCCAAGGGCAGAUAUUUACCAAAAACUACUCUUUCUCAUGGCUAGCUUUAUAUUUCUAUAUCAAGAGUGACUUUGAGAAAAGGGUUGAAGGUACAUGCACUUGAUGAAAAUGGAAGCAACAACACUACAAUAGAAACAAGAAAUAUAGUAUAUCAAGAAGUACUUAAUAAUCUCUAGAAUACAUGUGCAUCCGCAUUUAUUUGUAUAUGUAUAUUUGUGGUGCAUUUUUCCUUGAUCAUGUAUUGUACUUUUACAUGUCUAAUUUCUCUCCUUAAUUUUGCCCUUUUUAGGAUGUUUCAGAACUAAAAAGAACUUUUUAUUUGAUGCAAUCUGUGUGCUCCAGCUGGCAUGUUAAGUUUCUGUAUCACAUAUAUGGAUUUCUCUUAGCGUCAAGUCCAUUUGUUUGUAGCUAUAUGUGCCGACUGUGAGAACGGCUUUAUGUUGUCCAUGCUAAGAGGCCAAGGUUCUUAACCACGAUUUUCGUCUGCCGGUGCAAGGAUGUGUCCACAAAAUCCUCUUCACUGUUCUUCGAUGUUGACUGCUGAUAUUUAGUGUUAUACCUUCCUAGAACAGUCAACCAAGUAUAGAUACGCGUUUGUGGAUUAGUCCAUGUACUUCCACAUCAUGUUAGAUUAUGUGUUGUUAGUUUGUCACUGUGUGGUUGCAAUCAAUGUACUAAGUGGCACUCUUGAUCUUACACAUCUUUAUGUUAUUUCUAAUUGACCAGUUAACUUAA